UACGUAGGGACCAAGCGUUGUUCGGAUUUACUGGGCGUAAAGGGCGCGUAGGCGGCAAUUCAAGUCAUCUGUGAAAUCUCCGGGCUUAACUCGGAACGGUCAGGUGAUACUGCUUUGCUAGAGUGCAGAAGGGGCAAUCGGAAUUCUUGGUGUAGCGGUGAAAUGCGUAGAUAUCAAGAGGAACACCUGAGGUGAAGACGGGUUGCUGGGCUGACACUGACGCUGAGGCGCGAAAGCUAGGGGAGCAAACGGG
rnacentral:rRNA from 1 species